GAUGAAGAACGUAGUGAAAUGCGAUAAGUAAUGUGAAUUGCAGAAUUCAGUGAAUCAUCGAAUCUUUGAACGCACCUUGCGCCCUUUGGCCAUUCCGAAGGGCAUGCCUGUUUGAGUAUCAUGAACACCUCAACUCUCAUGGCUCGCCAUGAUGAGCUUGGAUUUGGGGGUCUUGCUGGCCUGUGGUCGGCUCCUCUCAAAUGGAUCAGCUUGCCAGUGUUUGGUGGCAUCACAGGUGUGAUAACUAUCUGCGCUUGUGGUUUUCCAUCAGAUAACCUUCAGUGAUGGAGGUUCGCUGGAGCUCAUAAACGUCUCCCCUAAUCGGGGACAGCCCUUUGAAUGUUUGAUCUCAAAUCAGGUAGGACUACCCGCUGAACUUAAGCAUAUCAAUAAGCGGAGGA
rnacentral:misc_RNA from 1 species